rnacentral:lncRNA from 1 species
UGAUUAAUGAAGAUGAAGAUUAUGGCUGUUGGUGGUAAGAGUCCCCCUUCACAUAAAGAAGCUCAGCUUGCAAUUGCUCGAUUUGAUUCUUCAUUCUUUGCAUUUGAGCUGUAACUGGAUCACGAUUCACCUACAUAUUGAAGGAGCCUAAUCAACAUGAAUGCAAAUUAAGAGAGAGUUCUUGCACUGUAAAAAAAAUUAGUCUUACAAUAGCUUUAUUUUGUAUGUUACGAGCUCGAUUG